rnacentral:lncRNA from 1 species
GCCCCCUCAGCCUGCCCACCUCGAGCUGCUCGCCCCGCGGACGGCAUUCGGCGCUCCCGAGAGGAGACAGAGUCGAUACACGCACACGGAAACAGCAGAGUGACCUGGAAAUUCCAAGGUACCGCACAAGGAUCCCUACUCCAGUGCUUCACAGAGGUCUGCUAAUCAGGUCAAUGAGAGCUCUUCACUGUAGCACAAGUGAUGCUUCUCGUGACCAUUAUCGCCAGGAGAAAAAAACAGGUUUCCAAAUGAGCGUUUUCCAAAACCAAUAACCAGCAACUGUGGUCCUCAAACUCCUCUCUUU